GAUUAACGCUAGCGGCAGGCCUAACACAUGCAAGUCGAGGGGCAGCACGGGGUAGCAAUACUCUGGUGGCGACCGGCGCACGGGUGAGUAACGCGUAUGCAACCUACCUUUAACAGGAAGAUAGCCCCGAGAAAUCGGGAUUAAUACUCCAUAAUGAUUAAAAGCUGCAUGGUUUUUAAUUUAAAGUUCCGACGGUUAAAGAUGGGCAUGCGUGACAUUAGUUAGUUGGUGAGGUAACGGCUCACCAAGACUACGAUGUCUAGGGGUUCUGAGAGGAUUAUCCCCCACACUGGUACUGAGACACGGACCAGACUCCUACGGGAGGCAGCAGUGAGGAAUAUUGGUCAAUGGUCGCAAGACUGAACCAGCCAUGCCGCGUGCAGGAUGAAUGUUCUAUGAAUUGUAAACUGCUUUUCUAAGGGAAGAAACCUAUCCUCGUGAGGGUAGUUGCCGGUACCUUAGGAAUAAGCAUCGGCUAACUCCGUGCCAGCAGCCGCGGUAAUGUA
rnacentral:rRNA from 1 species